UGAAGAAUACAAACCUAGUACAAAUGUAUAUAGGGUAAUGAAGAGGCCUCACAUAUAACUGACUGUCAUUGGGUAAUUUGAUUAUUAACAAAAAAUUGAGAAUGGAAAUGGGGAAUGUGUCAAAGAGACAACAACCUGACCAAAGAGCAAAAAACAGCCAAAGACCACCAUGGAUAUACAACACACUGAGAAAAUCCACCACACAGAGGCAUGCUUCAGCUACCACCUAAAAAUGUGUAAUACUCCUUGGAACAUGUGGUCAAGGUUAUAAUAAUUUUUAUAAAUGAACUAAAUUAAAAAUCAUACAAGACUAACAAAGGCCAGAGGCUCCUGACUUGGGACAGGCGCCAAAAUGUUUUGCAAGAUCUCAACCUAUCCUUAUACCCAUGUCUAUAGCUAGCCAUUGUAGAAAAACAAAAACAAUAGGCACAGUAAAUCUCAGUUUAAAAGAAGUAUAUUAUAGUCCUAUGUCAGAAUAGGAAACUAAACAAACAAUGCAAAAUGACGAUACAUAAAUUUAAAAAGGACUACUAGCAGUCACUGACAUGUUCCUCAGACAUAUAUGAACUUAACUAAAUGCCAUACACUAUAUUUUUUAUCACUUAUUUAUUUAUUUUUUAGCAGAUGAAAUAUAUCUUGAAUAUAUUGUAACAAUGUUUUUUUUUUAUAUUUUUUGUUGGUACCCUAACAAAUACUGGUAGGAAAAUAAUUUCUUUGGUUUUAUUCCAAUACAGAUACAUGAAGUCAGACUAAAUGUUUUUGAACCUUGCAUAUCUACUUGAACUUGUUUCAUAGUUUAGCAAAAUUACUUUAUUCAGUAAAAUUUCUAAAGAAAUGUAUAGUUUUGUAAACAUUGACCUCAACAAAUAGCAUUUUAUCAAACUUGGGCAAAUCAUAUUUCAGCAAAAGACUUUGCCAUCCAAUACAUGUUUUUUAUCUUGGAAGAAAAAGAACAACAGUCCUGAUGAUGGUGACAGGUCAAAUUAAUCUAACAGGUAACACAUACAUGACAUAUUGUUUUAAGGCUUUUCCAUUUAAACAUACAUGCAUGCAUAUUGGGACCAGGGAAGACACUUAGAGAUCCAAGAUUACAAUGUGGUGUGGGGUUAAUUGCAAUGAAAAUGUUAGUGAAAUUCUCAAUUGGCUUCUAUCAGUUGUUAACCCUAUUAUGAAUGUGUUUCUCCAGUGUACAAUGUGGAUUAAAAGAAAGACAUAAGCGUAUACAAGCACACUCCUUUUUAUUGAUUAAGAUAAAUAAACAUAUUAACUAUAGAACUUUGAAAAAUCUGUAUUUUUUUUUAUCUGUUUUAUUUAUCCUUCCAUGGAUGGCACUUGUUGUUUAACCUACAUGUACAUUAUUGUUAUGUUAGUUAAGUAAAGUAUACUAAUAGAUUAAACCCAGAUUUUAGAUAAAUAUAGCCUCCUUUUGUUGUGCUUGAUAUCCUAACUUUUUUUUAUACAAUUUAUUAAGAUAAGUAAGUUAACACUUAUAGACAUACUCCAACAAAUAUAAUAUUUUCUUACAACCAGUAUCUAUUUUAAAUUGAGAGUUUGAAAGAAAGAGUCGAAAAAACAAUGCACAAAACCAGACAAAUUGAAACAAAUGCAUGACAUAGGUGUGUUGAAAAACAGAAGGAAUGUUUCUCUGUUUAAGAGUUAUUGUAUGGACUACAAACACAAUACAAACCCUCUUAAAACCCAGGUUAUAUCAGGUGUUAAGAGUGAGCAUACACUGCUUGUAUAUGAUUUAUAGUUCAUAACAGUCUGUCAUCCUGUACCUCUGGCAAACCUUGUAAAUUAGCCAUACUUGGUAUAGAAUAAAGAUUAUUUGUACACAAUGAUUUUCGAUGUAAAGUUUCACGUCUAUAUAGGAAAAUAACUUUGUAUAAUUUUCAUAUUUCUGUUUCCUGUAAACUAGUAACGAUUACCAGUAUAGUUGUAUAGUUCUGACCAUUUUGUCAAACAUCUAAACUUGUAAUAAUAUUCCGUGAACAUUUUGGUACAGGAUUGUGGGUAAAACUCUUAAAAUAUAAAUAUUUCUGUAACAAUUUUACAUGUAAUAACAAUUAACCACUUCAUGAUAUCCAUUACCAAAACUGUUGUAUAGUCUGAUUAUAUCCACAUAAUUUACUUUGCUUUUCAGAUACUAGUGAAGAAAUCAAGAAACAAGAGUAGACACCAUUUGACCAACUGUGCUUACAGUACUUGUGCAACAGUUGUGAUUGAUGUCCAUAUUACAUUGUAGUAUGAUAAUACUUUACAGCAUCCACAGAAUUAUCAUCUUGGUCGUCAAUGCCUCUCAUUUCAUAAUAAAUUGCAUUUGUUAUUUAGGUUGUAUGAUUUUCUAAAACGACUUUUUUGUUAGUAAUGGAGUAGAAUGUUGAAAAACAAAUGACAAAGAAAAUU
rnacentral:lncRNA from 1 species